rnacentral:lncRNA from 1 species
ACCGAGGGCCGCCGAGCGCAAGAAGACACACACGAGGCUCAGGACAUAUCAGGAACUUGCCUGUGGUCACAAUUAUAGAUCCUACAAGUGAAGAUUUGAGCCCACACAGGCCAGCACCGGAGCUGCCUGGGCCAGGGGCAGUCAUCAAUUUUGAAUUUUUUUCGGCUGAGCACUUAGACAGCACCUGUCAGCAUUCAAGAAUUCACAACCAUCGAGCACUGACAGUGUGCCAGGCUGUGUGCCGUGUGCUGGGCAUUCGUCACGUCGAAUCUCACUAAGUCCAGCUGUCAUCAUUUGAAAUUAGCUCUGGCAGCGCUGGUGGUGUCUGAUGGGAGUCCUUAGUGCCCACCCCCCAUCAUCCAUCAAUCCCCUGAAAGCCACCCCAAAUAAAUAUAUACUUUGUUAAUGUAGCUUCAAGAAAAAUCUCCUAACCCCUUUCCAGUUGCCACCCCAGAAUUAGUAUUAUCCUCAGCUUACAGAUGAGAAAACUGAGGCACGGACAAGGCAAGUAUUCAAGGUCAUACAACAGUAAAUGGUAAGCCUGGGAUUCAGACAUGGGCAGUAUCUUCGUGAGCACUGCUCUACACAACCUCCAGCCCAGGGAGCUGCACGUGGCCCUGACAGCAUCGGGGGCUGGGCCCCACCCUUCCCUGGAAGCAAGACCACAAGAUCUCGGAGGCCCUUUCCAGCUGUGACGCCAUGAGGCUUUUCUACAGCAGGCACCAAAUGACAAUAGUCUCCAGAUGUGCACUAGGAGAGAAUGUAGUGCACUUGACACAGAAAGUCCACCAGAAGGAGAAAAUCAUAUAAUGAAGGUGGAUGUAUCCAUUACCCAGCUUCCAUAUCAACUCAGGACAAGUCUUGUUUCAACCAUACUCCCUCAUCUACUGUGUGUGUCUGUAAAAGAUAAGAACUAUUUUCAAAAAGUAGCCACAAUACCAUUAUCAUACCUAAAAAAACAAUAAUUCUUUAAUAUCAUUAAAUGCCCAGUGAGUGAUUUCCAGUUAUCUCCUAAAAACAGAAAUUAUUUUUGUAAUAAGAAAAAAAAGGCUGAAAAAGAUAAAAUUGUCAAUCCAAAGAGCAGAUUAGUACAAGUUUCCUGGAGCUUUGUUUAGUGAUACUUAUCAAGAGCCUUAACAAUGUGCUUACCUUUUGCCCUAGUAAUCCCAACCUGUGAAUUUAUUCUAAGAAGAAAAAAGAACAUUGAAGAGGUAUACAAACAUUGUUCACUAGAGUGUGCAGUGUCUGUUACAGAGAAGUUGUUUGAAAACUAUUUGUUGAGGCCAGAUGUGGUGGCUUACAUCUGUAAUACUAGUACUUUGGGAGACUGAGGCAGGAGGAUUGCUUGAGGCCAGGAGUUCCAGACCAGCCUGAGCAACAUAGCAAUACCCCAUCUCUACAAAAACAUUUUUUAAAAAUUAGCCAGGCAUGGUGGCUCAUGCCCAUAAUUCUAACUACUUGGGAGGCCAAGACAGGAGGGUUGCUUGAACCUAGGAUUUCAAGGCUAUAGUGAGCUGUGAUCACAUCACUAAAACUCCAGCCUGGAUGACAGAGCAAGACCCUAUCUCAAAAGAAAAAAAAACAAACCACAAUUUUUUUUGAAUUUGAAGUUGAGCUCCUGCUGUGGUUUGCAGCUUUGUUUGUAAAAGAAAAGCUGAAAGUCAUGGAAGUGUGUGACAUUAGGGUACUGGCUAAAUAAAUGAGGGCAGAUCCAUAAAAUGAAACAUUGUUCUGUCAUGUAAAAUCAGAUUCUAAUAAUACACAUAGAUAACCACCGCUUCCAAGAGGCAGAACUUCAUCCUCAUCCUCUAAUGGACUAUGGAAAGAAGAAAAACAGUCCUUUUACAGUGAAGAAACUCAGCAGAUGCUCCCUCAACAUCGCUGGUGGUAAGUCUUGUGGCUACUGGGUACCCCCUGAUACAAUGACAGGGGCACCUCACCUCUGUGAUCUUUUACCCAAAAACUAAUAACCUCAGUCUCAUGAGAAAAACAUCAGACAAACUCAGAUGAGGGGCAUUCUACAAAAUACGUGAGCAGCACUCUUCGAAUGUGUCAAGGUCGUGAAAAACAAGAAAAGACUCAGAACUGUUAGGGACCAGAGGAGCCUCAGGAGAUGACGGAGACUGAAUGCCAUGUGGGAUGCCGGAUGAGAUCAUGGAACAGAAAAAGGGCAUUAGUGGGAAACUGGCGAAAUCCUAAUAGAGUCUGUCGUCCAGCUAAUAAUGUUUUACUAAUGUUAACUUUUUAGUUUUGACAAAUGUAGCAUGAUUAUGUAAGAUGUUCACAUUAGGGGAAGGUGGGGGAAGAGUAUGGGAACUUUGUGGAACUUUGCUGUAAAUCUAAAAUCACUAAACAAAAAUUAUUCAAAAAAUCAGGGUGUAGAUAUUUAUUAGUAUAGAAAUGUAUUCACAACAUAUUAAGGGGAAAGUAUGUAUGGCCUCACAUAGUUUUUGCUGAAUGAGACCGUAUUUGUAAAAACUCUAAUAACAAGGUGUAUGUCUACAUGAAUGUGUAUAUAUGCACAUGUAGGCUGGGCACGGUGGCUCAUGCCUGUAAUCCC